rnacentral:tRNA from 1 species
GGUUGUAGUCAAGUUGUUUAGAACGUCUAGUUUUCCCCUGGAAGGUCGUAGGUUCGAGUCCCGCCACCA